rnacentral:rRNA from 1 species
GACGAACCGUGCGAACGUUGUUCGGAAUCACUGGGCAUAAAGGGCGCGUAGGCGGCUUUUCAAGUCAGGGGUGAAAUCCGGCAGCUCAACUGUCGAAGUGCCCUUGAUACUGAUGAGCUCGAGGGAGGUAGGGGUGUGUGGAACUUCCGGUGGAGCGGUGAAAUGCGUUGAUAUCGGAAGGAACGCCGGUGGCGAAAGCGACGCACUGGGCCUCUUCUGACGCUGAGGCGCGAAAGCUAGGGGAGCAAACGGG